rnacentral:rRNA from 1 species
CCUACGGGGGGCAGCAGUGGGGAAUAUUGCACAAUGGGGGAAACCCUGAUGCAGCGACGCCGCGUGAGUGAAGAAGUAUCUCGGUACGUAAAGCUCUAUCAGCAGGGAAGAAAAAAAGUCUUUGGCUUUGGACGGUACCUGAGGAAUAGGCCACGGCUAACUACGUGCCAGCAGCCGCGGUAAUACGUAGGUGGCAAGCGUUAUCCGGAUUUACUGGGUGUAAAGGGCGGGUAGGCGGGGAGGCAAGGCAGAUGUGAAAAACACGGGCUCAACCUGUGGCCUGCAU